UACGCAGGUGGCAAGCGUCGUCCGGAUUUAUUGGGCGUAAAGCGCUCGCAGGCGGUCUUUUAAGUCUGAUGUGAAAGCCCACGGCUUAACCGUGGAGGGUCAUUGGAAACUGGAGGACUUGAGUGCAGAAGAGGAGAGUGGAAUUCCAUGUGUAGCGGUGAAAUGCGUAGAGAUAUGGAGGAACACCGGUGGCGAAGGCGACUGCCUGGACGACACCUGACGCUGAGGCGCGAAAGCUAGGGGAGCAAACGGG
rnacentral:rRNA from 1 species